GGAUGAACGCUAGCUAUAGGCUUAACACAUGCAAGUCGAGGGGCAGCAUAUAGAUUGCUUGCAAUUUAUGAUGGCGACCGGCGCACGGGUGAGUAACGCGUAUCCAACCUACCCAUUACUAGGGAAUAACCCAGCGAAAGUUGGCCUAAUGCCCUAUGUAGUCGUUUGAUCGCCUGAGAUUUCGACGAAAGAUUUAUCGGUAUUGGAUGGGGAUGCGUCUGAUUAGCUUGUUGGCGGGGUAACGGCCCACCAAGGCGACGAUCAGUAGGGGUUCUGAGAGGAAGGUCCCCCACAUUGGAACUGAGACACGGUCCAAACUCCUACGGGAGGCAGCAGUGAGGAAUAUUGGUCAAUGGGCGAGAGCCUGAACCAGCCAAGUAGCGUGCAGGAUGACGGCCCUAUGGGUUGUAAACUGCUUUUACGCGGGGAUAAAGUGCGUGACGUGUCGCGCAUCGCAGGUACCGCGUGAAUAAGGACCGGCUAAUUCCGUGCCAGCAGCCGCGGUAAUACGGAAGGUCCGGGCGUUAUCCGGAUUUAUUGGGUUUAAAGGGAGCGCAGGCCGCCCGAUAAGCGUGUUGUGAAAUGUACCGGCUCAACCGGUGAGUUGCAGCGCGAACUGUCAGGCUUGAGUGCACGGUAAGCAGGCGGAAUUCAUGGUGUAGCGGUGAAAUGCUUAGAUAUCAUGAGGAACUCCGAUUGCGAAGGCAGCUUGCUGCAGUGCGACUGACGCUUAGGCUCGAAGGUGCGGGUAUCAAACAGGAUUAGAUACCCUGGUAGUCCGCACGGUAAACGAUGGAUGCCCGCUGUCCGCCCAUUCGUGGCGGGCGGGCCAAGCGAAAGCGUUAAGCAUCCCACCUGGGGAGUACGCCGGCAACGGUGAAACUCAAAGGAAUUGACGGGGG
rnacentral:rRNA from 1 species